rnacentral:rRNA from 1 species
GUCGAGCGGUAGCACAGAGAGCUUGCUCUCGGGUGACGAGCGGCGGACGGGUGAGUAAUGUCUGGGAAACUGCCUGAUGGAGGGGGAUAACUACUGGAAACGGUAGCUAAUACCGCAUAAUGUCGCAAGACCAAAGUGGGGGACCUUCGGGCCUCAUGCCAUCAGAUGUGCCCAGAUGGGAUUAGCUAGUAGGUGGGGUAACGGCUCACCUAGGCGACGAUCCCUAGCUGGUCUGAGAGGAUGACCAGCCACACUGGAACUGAGACACGGUCCAGACUCCUACGGGAGGCAGCAGUGGGGAAUAUUGCACAAUGGGCGCAAGCCUGAUGCAGCCAUGCCGCGUGUGUGAAGAAGGCCUUCGGGUUGUAAAGCACUUUCAGCGGGGAGGAAGGCGUUAAGGUUAAUAACCUUGGCGAUUGACGUUACCCGCAGAAGAAGCACCGGCUAACUCCGUGCCAGCAGCCGCGGUAAUACGGAGGGUGCAAGCGUUAAUCGGAAUUACUGGGCGUAAAGCGCACGCAGGCGGUCUGUCAAGUCGGAUGUG